rnacentral:other from 1 species
UUGUCCCUGCUGUGUUCGAGACUUGGCCAUACAUUCCUUGAACCAAUGCUAAUGGCAUCGGUUGCUGGAUUGGCAAGUAGGAGAGAUCUCCUCCUCGCGAGGAGAACCCGAAGCUUGCCUGAUGGCGACCAACUUGAACCGAUGGUUCAGGAUGCCGGCCUAGACGGCACAUGCGGGGCAUUU